UAGGGAAUCUUCGGCAAUGGACGGAAGUCUGACCGAGCAACGCCGCGUGAGUGAAGAAGGUUUUCGGAUCGUAAAGCUCUGUUGUUAGAGAAGAACGUUGGUAGGAGUGGAAAAUCUACCAAGUGACGGUAACUAACCAGAAAGGGACGGCUAACUACGUGCCAGCAGCCGCGGUAAUACGUAGGUCCCGAUCGUUGUCCGGAUUUAUUGGGCGUAAAGCGAGCGAAGGCGGUUCUUUAAGUCUGAAGUUAAAGGCAGUGGCUUAACCAUUGUACGCUUUGGAAACUGGAGGACUUGAGUGCAUAAGGGGAGAGUGGAAUUCCAUGUGUAGCGGUGAAAUGCGUAGAUAUAUGGAGGAACACCGGUGGCGAAAGCGGCUCUCUAGUCUGUAACUGACGCUGAGGCUCGAAAGCGUGGGGAGCAAACAGG
rnacentral:rRNA from 1 species